CAGUCAAUAUACAUUGGUUCGGUUGGGAAAGGCAGGAAAACUGGAAGUGGGGGAGGGAGCUUCCAGGUCAUAGGUAGAUAAGAGACAGAUGGUUACAUUCUUUUGAGUUUCUGAGAAGCCUUUUACUGAAUAGACAAUUUACAUGCGAGAAGAGGGUAAAUAGUCACUUAUGCCUUAGUCUGGCUUAGUGAUACAUACUUGUCUCACAGGAGCCUCAGAGGAGUGACUGAGUUCUGUCUGUCCUUUGUCUGCAAGGAAUUUCCUUGUGGGCAAAUUGUGAGGGAGUGAGCCCAGGGUCACUUUCCUCAGGAGAGCAUGUGGAGGGAUCCUGCAGGAGGAAACGUUCCCUGCUGCACAGUGCAUCAGUUGGAAUGUGCUGGGACAGCCACAUCCUGAGAUAAAGAAGAACAACACAGGCUCCGUUCCAAUUCCUUAGAACUGGAUGUUGUCCUGCGGUGCUUAUUUGUCCAGCAAGUCCAGUUGCUCCUGCACAUGAAACCCAGAUCAGAUCAUGCUUUUGGGGUCCCUCAGCUGCAGUGCAGCAUAAGACACACACAGUGGCCGGAUGUGGUGGCUCACGCCUGUAAUCCCAGCACUUUGGGAGGCCAAGGUGGGUGGAUCACUGAGGUCAGGAGUUCAAGACCAGCCUGGCCAACAUGGUGAAACCCUGUCUCUACUAAAAAUACAAAAAAUUAGCUGAGCAUAGUGGUGACGGGCACCUGUAAUCUCAGCUACUUGGGAGGCUGAGGCAGGAGAAUCACUUGAACCCAGGAGGCAGAGGUUGCAGUGAGCCAAGAUCAUGCCAUUGCACUCCAGAACAAGAGCGAAAACUCCAUUCCCUCUCCCCGCCCCCAAAAAAAGACACACAAAGUGAGACUCAAUCCACCCAGGGCAGUCUUCCUGAGCCUUGGGGGACUGGCUUGCCAUAAAUCCUAGGCUUCUAUUGUCCCUUGCUGACUUUCUGUAAGUAAUAAAGUUGC
rnacentral:lncRNA from 1 species